ACGCUCGACACCUACGGGAGGUAGCAGUCGGGAAUAUUGCGCAAUGGAGGAAACUCUGACGCAGUGACGCCGCGUGCAGGAAGAAGGUUUUCGGAUUGUAAACUGCUUUAGACAGGGAAGAAAGAAAUGACAGUACCUGUAGAAUAAGCUCCGGCUAACUACGUGCCAGCAGCCGACGGUAAUCUGAGGCGGGCUGGACGAAGGC
rnacentral:rRNA from 1 species